rnacentral:rRNA from 1 species
GACGAACGCUGGCGGCGUGCCUAAUACAUGCAAGUAGAACGCAGUUGCGAACGGGUGAGUAACGCGUAGGUAACUGCCUCAUAGCGGGGGAUAACUAUUGGAAACGAUAGCUAAUACCGCAUACUGUGAGAUGGACCUGCGUUGUAUUAGCUAGUUGGUGAGGUAAAGGCUCACCAAGGCGACGAUACAUAGCCGGGCUGGGAGGGGUGUCCGGCACACUGGGAAUGGGACACGGGUCAGAAUCCUAACGGAGGGAGCAGUAGGGGAACUUCGGCCAUUGACGGAAGUCCUGCCGCGCAACUCCGGGGGGUGGAAGAAAGGUUUCGGGAUGUAAAGGUCUGUUGUGAGAGAAGCGUUAACUAACCAGAAAGGGCCGGCUAACUACGUGCCAGCAGCCGCGGUAAUUC